rnacentral:tRNA from 1 species
AGUAAUUUAGGUUAAAAGACUGUCUGUUUUCAAAACAGGAGGUGAUUGUUUUUGUCAGUUACUG